UGUUGGGGCCAUAGGCAUAGGGUCAAGGAACUUCGUGGGUACACACACAAACAGCUGACAGACAGGUACACAGAUGUUUGUAACUCCUUCCCACCUUCCCUAUCCUAACGGAAACUGCAGGUAGAUGAACACUAGCUGUCAUCUGCCACCUCAACGACCGACCCUCGUCCACUUCUACCACCGCCGCGAUUAGAGUCGGUCGACGCACCUUACGCUCCCGUCACUCAAUCCGCGAUAGAAGCACAAUCCGCCGCGUACUACAACACACGUAGCUCUACGCCGCGCACCGGUACAUCAGCACAUCAACCUGGAGAAGAACGGGUGGAAAAUCGAAGAGGUCAAACGCAUUUGAUCAGCCGGACAACCGUUCCUGCCAGGUCAGUUUCUUUCCUUUAAACUUCCCCCUUGCUCCUCCAUUUCAUGGUCCUUCGUAAACCGGAUAUUCCCUAUUCCAGUCCAUCCCGGUUUAUUAUUUACAAACAUUUGUCUAAACUUCAGCACGUAACUGAAGUCUUCUGCCAGCUGUUUUGUGUGUGUCAUCGUGACGUCACUUAGUUUUUUUUCCCUUAGUCUAUGGUCAAUCGGUAAGAAUCGGUUAGUCGAGUAGUGUCCAUCACUACUCAACUUCAAUCAGUAUUCCGAGGAUAGCACAGAGUAGAAGUUUGACGUCUGACACAUUACUUUUUAAUUCAACUGGGACUGUUUAGAGCUUAGUGGCUCUUUGGGGGGCGGUUUAUGUUGGGGCCAUAGGCAUAGGGUCAAGGAACUUCGUGGGUACACACACAAACAGCUGACAGACAGGUACACAGAUGUUUGUAACUCCUUCCCACCUUCCCUAUCCUAACGGAAACUGCAGGUAGAUGAACACUAGCUGUCAUCUGCCACCUCAACGACCGACCCUCGUCCACUUCUACCACCGCCGCGAUUAGAGUCGGUCGACGCACCUUACGCUCCCGUCACUCAAUCCGCGAUAGAAGCACAAUCCGCCGCGUACUACAACACACGUAGCUCUACGCCGCGCACCGGUACAUCAGCACAUCAACCUGGAGAAGAACGGGUGGAAAAUCGAAGAGGUCAAACGCAUUUGAUCAGCCGGACAACCGUUCCUGCCAG